rnacentral:rRNA from 1 species
UGAGGAAUAUUGGACAAUGGGUGAGAGCCUGAUCCAGCCAUCCCGCGUGAAGGACGACGGCCCUAUGGGUUGUAAACUUCUUUUGUAUAGGGAUAAACCUACUCUCGUGAGAGUAGCUGAAGGUACUAUACGAAUAAGCACCGGCUAACUCCGUGCCAGCAGCCGCGGUAAUACGGAGGGUGCAAGCGUUAUCCGGAUUUAUUGGGUUUAAAGGGUCCGUAGGCGGGCUUGUAAGUCAGUGGUGAAAUCUCAUAGCUUAACUAUGAAACUGCCAUUGAUACUGCAGGUCUUGAGUAAAGUAGAAGUGGCUGGAAUAAGUAGUGUAGCGGUGAAAUGCAUAGAUAUUACUUAGAACACCAAUUGCGAAGGCAGGUCACUAUGUUUUAACUGACGCUGAUGGACGAAAGCGUGGGGAGCGAACA